GUUUAUCAUCACAUUCUCCGAAGAUCAUUUCCCAACUACAUAGAAGACUCACAUCAGUCAAGAAAUCUCACUAAGAAAAUGAAGUUCCUCUUUCCCACCUUGGCAUUAGCUUGUAUGGUGCUUGGCGCAUGUGCACAGGAAACAACGCUUGACCCAGGGACAACCUCUGAACCAGAGACAACCCUUGCCCCAGAGACCACUACAACCACGAGGGCCCCCAUCCCCGGAUUUGUCCCAGCACCAGCCCCUUCAUGGGGUGGAAAUUUUCAAUCUCCCUGGUUGGGAUAUGGUCGCUAAUACGGAUACCAUCUAAAUAUAUAUUAAAAUUCCGAACUUUCUGAAAAUCUAAAUUUAUAAAUUUCUUUUCUUUACCUGUUUAUUUCUAUGAAGUCAAUACAACUAUCUUUGCAUCUGUAGCACAAGCAUA